rnacentral:rRNA from 1 species
GUUUAUAGUGAUAUAGUUUAGUUUAGUCAGGGUUGGGCCUGGUUAGUACCUGGAUGGGAGACCGCUUGGGAAUACCAGGUGCUGUAAGUU